GUCCUCAUGGUAUAGUGGUUAGAGUAUUGGACUAGAACUCUGGGAGACUAGGGUUCAAAUCCCUGGUUAACACA